rnacentral:lncRNA from 1 species
UUGUAUACAAAAAUCUAAUGAAAAAAUAAUAAAAAAUAAUUAUGAAUGUAUAAAUUUGUUGACCGAUAAAAAAAACUACAAUGAUAAAUUACAACAGUUAAAAAAAUAUUACACAAAAGAUAAUAAUGUGAAGAACAAAUAUGUGUUUUCUUUUUAUGGGUGUUCAGGACAUAAGAAAAUAAAUUUUUUAGAACAGUUAUUUAACUUAUCAUUUGAAGAAAAAAAAAAAUUGUCAAUUUAGGUUAUAAUCAAAAACUAGAUUUAUGGUUUGGUCAUGAUCAAAAUAAAAAUUUAAAUGUAAUUCUUGAUAUAGACUUACUAGAGAACAAAGAAUUUAGUAGUAAUAAUAAUAAUAGUAGUAAUAAUAGUAGUAGUAAUAAUAGUAGUAGUAAUAAUAGUAGUAAUAAUAAUAGUAAUAGUGGAAAUAGUAUUGAUGAUAGUAGUAAUAAAAUUAAAGAAUUUAUAAAUCAAUUUGAAGAAAAAUUAGAACAAUCUUUAUAUAAUUAUUAUUAUUUAAAUCAAAGUCCAUUAAAAAAAUUAUUUGAAAAAAAAAAAAUAUAUAAAACAACAAGAAGAAAAAAAAAAAAAAAAUAAUUAUAAAUGGUUUAAUCCAUCUAUUAAUUUUAAUUUAACUAUUACAUCUUUUAUUAGAAAAAGUGGACAUGGAAACUUACAAAGUUAUUUUGUUUAUGACUUAGGAUUAUUAACGUUAGUAUUUGGAUUAGUAAAUGAUAGAGACACAGUUGAAGUUCAACAACAAGGUGAUAAAAUACCAUUUUUCAAGUUACAGCCAAAAAUUAAUAUGAAGAUAAAUUUUAAUUAAAGAUGGUUAUUUUACUCUUUCGUAUUAUGGUGACCAUAGGAACUAUAAAAAACUAAAUGUAUGACAUAUAUAUACAAUGUGUAUAUAUAACAUUUUUAUAAUUUAAAAGUGUAAAAUAUAAAUUAUAAAAAAAAAAAAAAAAAAUUACAAUUUUUGUUAAUAUAUUAUCAUACAUAUUCACACAUUUUUAAAAGUUAUUUUUUGUUCCUUUUUUUUAAACCUUUAUGCUUUAUAUACAUUUUUUCUUUUGUUAUUUCUGUAUAACUCUAUAAUAUGUUACUUUAUUUUAUUUUGUUUUAUUUUGUUUUACUUUAUUUUAUUUUGUUUUAUUUUAUUUUACUUUAUUUUAUUUUGUUUUAUUUUGUUUUAUUUUGUUUUAUUUUGUUUUAUUUUGUUUUAAUUUUUUUUUUUUUUUUUUUUUUACGGUAUACUUAUGCUUUAUAAAAUAAAUGUUUUACAUAUUUUUAUGUUUGACA